GUGCUCACUUUGAAGCACAGACAAUAAAACUGGAUGAUGUAGAGAAGAUUAGCAUGGUCCCUGCGCAAGGAUGACAUGCAAAUCCAUGAAGCUUUCCAUAUUUGG
ensembl:snRNA U6 U6 spliceosomal RNA